AGCUGUUGUGUCAGGGUGAUCUCUGACUAGUGGAUACUGGUCCCUUUAAUCAUGUGCUUUGAUUUUAGGCCGACGUGGAAAGGAAAUUAUCACAGAUGAUUCUUGACAAGAAAUUUCACGGGAUUUUGGACCAGGGGGAGGGUGUCCUGAUUAUUUUCGAUGAACCCCCAGUAGAUAAAACUUAUGAAGCUGCUCUGGAAACAAUUCAGAACAUGAGCAAAGUAGUGGAUUCCCUCUACAACAAAGCCAAGAAACUGACAUAGAGUUGGAUCUGUAGCGGUCCUUUGGAGAGUGUGUGUGGCGGGAGAGUGAAACCUUGGGGGAAAAUGCUAGGAGAUUCUUUUUUCUUUUUGUUCUACUUUUCGCUCGGAAAGUUUUUAAAUCCUCAUUUGGUGCAUCUGUAUUCCAGCCAAUAGGUGUGCCAGUUUUCAUGUAAUCUUUACUGGCCCAACUUGGGAGUGGGGAAAUUGCUU
rnacentral:sRNA from 1 species